GGGAGAGGGAGAAGCAGGCUCCCCACUGAGCAAGGAGCCUGAUGUGGGGCUCAUUUCCGGGACUCUGAGGUCAUGACCUGAGCUGAAGGUAGAUGCUUAAUUAACCCACUGAGCCACGCAGGUGCCCCUCACUAUGAACUUAUUAAUGAUAUUUUACACGCUUUUUUCUUUCAUAUUGUCUUAAAUCUGGUGUAUUUCACACCACACAUUCCAAUUUGCAUAUGAAAUUUUCAUUGGAAACACUAUAUUUAGAUUCACAAAAUUUACUGUUGAAAAAAGAAAAAUCACAUCUGGAUGUUGUUUCAAACACUGAAGUUUUCAGUAACUGAAUGCAGUAUUGGUUUCUUAAUUCAAAGUUAAUCAGAAUGACAUAAAAUUGCGAUGCAGUCACAGCAGCCACAUUUCAAGUGUUCUGUAACCACAUGUGGUUGGUGCCUACUGCAUUGGACAGCCCAGGUCCGGGGGCUAGACAUGUGCCUUCCAAUUGCUUCUAAACCUCAAAUUGUCUAAUGGGGUGCCAGGCACACUGGAGGUGCUCGAUAACUUGUAGCAUCGGGGCAGUUGGAAACGUCAAAAAUCCGUUAAGACUCAGUAGCCCAAUUCCUUUGUUUUAGAAGGGAGACAACCCAGAAUGAGAGAACGUAACGGGUUCGCAGAGGAGCACACAAAUGAACUAGUUGCUGGAUAUCUGCACAAAAAUUGAGGUCUCCUGAUCCUUAAUCCCAAGGUCUUUCUAUGUCAUUGCCUCAGCCAUACUUCAGGGCUGGGGGGAAACCCAGAUUUUAAAAUCUAUUUGAAUAAUCAUUUGAAUGACGUGGGCAAAGAAAUACUGAUAGCCGACUUGUAGUUGCUAAGCUGAUAAAAACAGUUCUAGACUAUCUCAGGGCUCCUUCCACUCCGUCUGGGGUCUAAUCUGUCAGCCCCUCUUACCUCGGCCUGUCGCCGCUCGGAGCUGCCUCACUGCACAUCCAUCUGUCUUGCCCUCCCCAGCACAUCCGGCCACAUUUUCUGGUCUGCAGCUGUCUUCUGCCAGCUGCCUACCACAAUUUGCUUAAUGUUGUGCUUCAGAGAAUCCUUUAUAUUUGCAAAUCAAAGCAUUCAGUAGAACCUGCAGCAAAGUUGGAGAAGAGCUGCUACCCUCCAGCCAUGAACAGAACCCUGAGGUCCUGCCUCCUGGUAGCUGCGAGAGGGAGCGGAGGAAACCUCCUCUACCAAUGGCAUAUUCCAUCAACCGUGACCUGACGUCCCAUUCCCCAGGCAAAUAGUAAAGCUUCCAAGAAACUGCCACUGAAUCCGUUUUCUUAAAACAGACAGCAGUAGGUAAAGAUAAGGCAGAGCCAACUUUUAACCCCCAUCAACUCCCUUUUUGGGAAUGGUCCUUGCCUUACCUGGCUUAAGGUGACAUCAUGAGCGUUGAGAGGUCAAUCUAGUCCACUAGCUGAGUACUUUCAGGGCACAAAAGUGUUGGUAAUUUGGGAAAUGAUAAUAUUAAUGAUGAUCUCAACACCCCUAACACUUACGAUAUGCAAAGGCAUCCUCAAGUUUUUGCUAUAGUUAGCUUUACCUCUAAGUCUAUAGAAUAGCAUUUCAUAGCUUCAUUUUCACAAAAAAAGAUGUAGGUAUACAGCUGUUUAGAAACCCUUGAAAGGGCACAUAUUACUAGCUGUGAGACCUUGAGUGGGUAAUAAUAUAUCCAUGCCUGUCUUUCUUUUCAUCUGUAAAAUGUAAAAUGGAAAUGAUAAUAUACUCCACAGGAUAAGACUAACAAUAGCUUAUAAAUAAUGAACCUGACAUUGUUUUAAAUGUGAUAUUGGUGUUUACUCAUUUAAUCCUCACACUCCUAUAAGCAAAGAGCCAAGUUUUCCUCCUUCAGAGAAAGAAAACCAAGGGACAGGGAAGUUACAGAGUCUGCGUCACUAGUGGAGUUGUCACCAGGAGAGCCAGGAUUCAAGCUCGCCUUCUACUAUCUGGCCCUUUACUGUAUAUACCGAGGAGUGGAAAUGCUAGAUCAUAUAGCAAUUCUACUGCACAUCUUUGAAGGAGCUGCCGUACCAUUGUCCACAGCAGCUGCAUCAUUCUAUACUCCCAUCAGCAGUGUACAAGGUUCCAAUUUGCCUCCAUCUUCAUCAAUAUUGUUAUUAUCAUUAUUUUUAUAACAGCCAUCCUACGGGUGUGAAGUCCAUUUGUCAUUUAAGGCUUCAUGAUUUCCUAUUGAUUUGUACAAAUACUACAAAAUAAAGAGAUGAGCUCUUGCAUUAUCUCCUGCUAA